UGCCAUUUGAACCAGCGAAAUUUCGAAAUACGGAAAUUCGGAGUCGAAAAAGCAAAGAUUGCUUGCUUUUUCGACUCCGAAUUUCCGUAUUUCGAAAUUUGCUUGUG
rnacentral:pre_miRNA from 1 species